rnacentral:rRNA from 1 species
AUUGAACGCUGGCGGCAUGCUUUACACAUGCAAGUCGAACGGUAACAGGCCGCAAGGUGCUGACGAGUGGCGAACGGGUGCGUAAUGCAUCGGAACGUGCCCAGUCGUGGGGGAUAACUACUCGAAAGAGUAGCUAAUACCGCAUACGAUCUAUGGAUGAAAGCGGGGGACCGUAAGGCCUCGCGCGAUUGGAGCGGCCGAUGUCAGAUUAGGUAGUUGGUGGGGUAAAGGCUCACCAAGCCAACGAUCUGUAGCUGGUCUGAGAGGACGACCAGCCACACUGGGACUGAGACACGGCCCAGACUCCUACGGGAGGCAGCAGUGGGGAAUUUUGGACAAUGGGCGCAAGCCUGAUCCAGCAAUGCCGCGUGCAGGAAGAAGGCCUUCGGGUUGUAAACUGCUUUUGUACGGAACGAAACGGCUCUGGCUAAUACCCGGGGCUAAUGACGGUACCGUAAGAAUAAGCACCGGCUAACUACGUG